rnacentral:rRNA from 1 species
ACGGGAGGCAGCAGUGGGGAAUAUUGCACAAUGGGGGAAACCCUGAUGCAGCAACGCCGCGUGAGUGAUGACGGUCUUCGGAUUGUAAAGCUCUGUCUUCAGGGACGAUAAUGACGGUACCUGAGGAGGAAGCCACGGCUAGCUACGUGCCAGCAGCCGCGGUAAUACGUAGGUGGCAAGCGUUGUCCGGAUUUACUGGGCGUAAAGGGAGCGUAGGCGGACUUUUAAGUGGGAUGUGAAAUACCCAGGCUUAACCUGGGUGCUGCAUUCCAAACUGGGAGUCUAGAGUGCAGGAGGGGAAAGUGGAAUUCCUAGUGUAGCGGUGAAAUGCGUAGAGAUUAGGAAGAACACCGGUGGCGAAGGCGACUUUCUGGACUGUAACUGACGCUGAGGCUCGAAAGCGUGGGGAGCGAACAGGAUUAGAUACCCUGGUA